AAGCAAGGUUAAUAGAUAUAAAGUAUACACUUCGUUUUGUUUUGUAUAAAUUGUAUCAAAAUAGAGUAUGAGAAAACUAAAAAAUAAAUACUAUCCGCAGUGUUGUGUGACAGUGUUUAGCUUCUUGUUUAAAAAAAUGGUGGACGUUCAGAAAAUUUGACAGAAUCUUCUAUUUGAGAAACUGAUAUAACCAACGAAUAAGAAAUGCGGAGUUCGUUUAUGAAAUCUUGAUGAUCUAAAUAAAAGUAUGUAGAUUAAGGAAUGAGCACGCGUGUUACAAAUAAGGUAGGUGCAUAACUCUGCGAUUUAUACAUAUGCAUACAUUAACUUAGUGAGUUAAAAAGCAA
rnacentral:lncRNA from 1 species